AGUGUAUAGCUCAGAAGUGGCCACAGGCAUCUGGGGAAUCAGGAGAAGGAGUUGAACUUGCACUUUGGAGGAGGAGUCAAGAGGAUUGUGGAAAAAUAAGGAAAGAAGCACCACAAAGCCUAAGCUACAGGAAAUUAGAGAAAAAAGGAAAUAACUGAAAAGAUUUGAUGUGGAGUGAAAGAGGUCAGGAAAAUGGAGGAGACUGAAG